AUGCCAUAAUGAGGACACCUUUUGAGCAGUUCUUUGAAUCUUUCCCAAGCCUCGUACAAACUUUCAUCCUCAAGUUGGUGGAAAAAAGUAAUCUCAUUCUGCAACUU
rfam:Citrus clementina cultivar Clemenules unplaced genomic scaffold scaffold_5, whole genome shotgun sequence.